CGACUCGUAGCUCAGUGGAAGAGCGGCCGGCUGAUAACCGGCAGGACGGAGGUUCAAAUCCUUCCGGGUCGA
rnacentral:tRNA from 1 species